rnacentral:lncRNA from 1 species
AUGUUAGGCAGAAUACUAGUGCAUGGAAGGCUAUUUAAAGCCAUCUCUAUUUGUUGAAUAAAAUAACCCUUCAUUCGAAAUAGUGAACAGAAGCAUUUCGUUUCUUUUCUUGUGCAUACUUCACAAACAAAUAGUGAGUGAGAGUUGUGUAUUUUGAGGGGCCUGAACCAAUAGCCCUAGCCGUAGCUAGGGUGGCCCUCGCGGGCCGCGUAGGUUUCCCUUCGAGUUUACGCGGGCCGCGACAAACUCCAAAAUCAGCUAUAAAUUGGACGUUGCAUGGCCUUUCUUCUGUGUUCGAAAAUUUACUCCAAAACCGUGAUAAGCUGCUCAAAUUAGUGUAUCAAAGAGUCGAAACGUUGCUACGAUUACAGGGUGAUUUACUGUGAACAGGGAAAAGUGCCGUGUAGCACUACCAGCUUGGAUAAAAGUGGCUCAGUAAAUAAAUAAACAUGUGUUUGUAACCAAGGGAUUUCCAGUGGAAUUCCUUUAUUGUAAAUUACGGGGUUUAUCCCGAAACUUGAAAUAAAAUAAUCGAGUAUUUUCAGU